rnacentral:rRNA from 1 species
AGAUUGAACGCUGGCGGCAUGCCUAACACAUGCAAGUCGAACGGGAGUAGCAAUACUCUAGUGGCGGACGGGUGAGGAAUACGUAGGAAUUUGCCCUUAAGUGGGGGAUAACCCGGGGAAACCCGGAUUAAUACCGCAUGACCUCGAAGAGCAAAGUGGGGGAUCGCAAGACCUCACGCUUUUGGAGAAGCCUACGUCGGAUUAGCUAGUUGGUGAGGUAAUGGCUCACCAAGGCGACGAUCCGUAACUGGUCUAGAGAGGAUGGAUCAGUCACGACCGGAACUGAGACGACGGUCCGGACUCCGUACGGGAGCAGCGAGGUGGGAAU